rnacentral:lncRNA from 1 species
GAAACAGUAAGAGGUAGGCUUCAGAUACACAGAGCUUUAUGAUUUAACAUUUGCUGCUCUCAGGAAUUAUUCACCAUCCUUUAUAAAUCUAAAGAUUCAUGUGAUAUUAAUGUAGCAGGACGAGCAGCAGACAAAAGUCCUCCAAAACCGAGUUAAAGAAGGAAGGGGUUUAUUCAGCUGGGAGCAUUGGCAAGACUCCUGUCUCAAAAGCCAAGCCCCUUGAAUGAGCAAUUUCUGUCCCUUUUAAGGGCUCACAAAUCUAAGGGGGUGCAUGUGAAAGGGUCGUGAUUGGUUGAGCAAGCAGGGAGUACGUGACUGGGGGCUGCAUGCACUGGUAAUUAGAUCGGAACAAAACAAGGUAGGGAUUUUCACUGUGCAUUUGUAAUCUAUAGAUAAUAUAACCCAUUAGGUGAGGGGUUGAUCUUUAACUACCAGGCCCAGGGUGCGGCACCGGGCUGUCUGUCUGUGGAUUUCAUUUCUGCCUUUUAGUUUUUACUUCUUCUUUAUUUGGAGGCAGAAAUUGGGCAUAAGAAGAUGUGAGGGGUGGUCUCCUCCCUUAUUAAAAGUGUAGAGCUGUAUAUCCCCAAUGUAAUUAUUGAUUUUAUUUCCCUACUUAUAUUGCCUACUCUCCAACAUUCUUAAGAUCUAAUGAGAUGGGAACAAUAAGAUUCUUAUUGCUGUAAGUGGCCCACAUUGUUUGGUUUUUCUCUUCUUCCUUAGACUUAGAGAUAAUAAAACAUGGGCACAUCCUCUCUCUCUUCCUAGGGCUAUGGAAAUGAAUGAAAUAAUUUGAAGUAUGUAGUUCAUUUGUUUUCAGCAUCGAUGUGCCUUUUUCAAGAGUGCUGUACUUACCUAUCUCAGUAUUUCUGCUCCCUUUCCACAGUUCCCACCAGGAACCAUGCCAAAUCUGACCAGUCUCCAAGCUACCUUCCUAUGCUUCUUCUGAAUCAGCCAGAAUAGUCAUUCAACAUGUACAACCAAUCAGCAAUUCUUCCACAACAGGAGCUCAUCACCUCUAUUACAAGCAAAAUCCAUACAUCACUAAUAAGUUUUUCAAACUCAG